GCAGCUAUGGCCGAGUGGUUUAAGGCGACGGACUUAAGACCCGUUAUCAUUGAUGCGUGGGUUCGAACCCCACUGGCUGCA
rnacentral:tRNA from 1 species